rnacentral:miRNA from 1 species
UUUUUCCCUUAUUUGUUGUUGUUUUGAUUUGUGUAUAUUGAAAUGAUAUAUAUAUAUAUAUAUAUAUAUAUAUAUAUCAUUUCAAUAUACACAAAUCAAAACAACAACAAAUAAGGGAAAAA